rnacentral:rRNA from 1 species
GACGAACGCUGGCGGCGUGCCUAAUGCAUGCAAGUCGCACGCGGCACCUUCGGGUGCUGAGUGGCGAACGGCUGAGGAACACGUGGGGACCUGUCCGGGAGUGGGGGACAACACCGCGAAAGCGGUGCUAAUCCCGCAUACGCUCUGAGGAGGAAAGCCGAAAGGCGCUCCCGGGUGGCCCUGCGGCCCAUCAGGUUGUUGGUGGGGUAACGGCCUACCAAGCCAAUGACGGGUCGCUGGUCUGUGAGGACGACCAGCCAGACUGGGACUGGGACACGGCCCAGACUCCUACGGGAGGCAGCAGCAAGGAAUUGUCGGCAAUGGGCGCAAGCCUGACCGAGCAACGCCGCGUGCAGGAAGGCGGCCUUCGGGGUGUAAACUGCUUUUGCUAGGGAUGCUAACAGACAGUACCUGGCGAAUCAGCCCCGGCUAACUCUGUG